UUUUAUGGGUAUUUGAUAAAAAGUAUCCUGUGGUGAUAUUUUGCAAAUCUUUGUUGUGACAUCAUGCCAUGGAUUAUCAACGCCCUCUUUACCACUGGAAAUAGUCACUAGUGCCUUUGAAUCAAAUCAAACUAAAGAACCAAUUCCAAAAAACUCAGUCAAUUUAGAACCUCAUUCUUAAUGUUUCAUUUGUCUCAAACCACUUCUAGUAUAAAAAUUUGUAUCUGUCAGCAUUCCACAAGACAAACAGAACUAGCAAGAUGUACACACACACAGACACACACACACACACACACAAGCACACACACACAAAUAUAUCAAAAAUUUAUUGCAGGGUGUUGGGCUCCAUAAUUGUGAGAGCUGGCUAGGCAAUGCCAAAAUCCAAGGUGUCUAUCAGGAAAGGCAGGCAAGAAUUCUUGAGUACAAGCUGAAGCUGCAGAUAACAGGCAAUUUUUUUUCUUUCUAAUGGAAACAUCAUUUCUGCUCGUAAGGCUCUUCAGCUGAUUGGGUGAGGCUCACCCAUACCACUAAAGACAGUCUCCUUUACUUACAUUUAGCUGGUUGUAGGUGUUAGUCUCAUCUGUAGUGUACCUUCAUAGUAACACUUAGAAUAGUGUUUGACUGAAUGACUAGAUAGUAUAGUCUAGCUGAGCUGAUGCAAAAAAAAAAUUGAACAUCACAUCAUGCACCAAACAUGAUUUUAAAAAGUGGAAUAAUUUUACUUAUGCUUUGCUUUAAUAUUUGUUAUCUUUCAUUCCAACAUCCUUACUUUUAAAAAUAUAUAUUGAGAUAAAAUUUUUCCUAGUCAAGCCUUCAGUGAUCCAUGGGCCUAUAUAAUCCAUGAGUACCAUAAUAUGUGUGACUCAUUUCACAGACUUUAAAGUCCGUGAAGAAUCUUGUUCAUCUGAACAUUCAGCAUGUUCUAGAAGAGAAAAGAAUUUCAUGGGAGGUCAGCCCAAAGAGAAUGAAAAGGAAUGAUGAAGAAUUUUAAGUUCUGAAGAAGCAAAAACCCAGGAAGAGCCAAGCUAGAGGAGCCUCACCUGGGUGAGUUACAGAAACCAGAAAAGAAACUGUCAUGGAGUUGAUUCUGAAAGAUAAUGAACAAAAAGGAGUUGCCAGGUGAGGAGGAGUGGGAACUUUACUGGCUGAGGAAACAGGUUCUCUUAGUUGACAGAACACUUCCUCCCUACUUGGAAGGAGGAAAAUAUCUUUCUUUGAUUUAUGGACAUGAAAGGAAACUUGGUUGGUUUUAAGUUAUGGGAAUCUCAGAUUUUCUCCUCAAGGCCUUUAGAUGUUUCUCAGAGUAGUUUUGGCGUCUAAAUUUCACAGAAGAAAUCAAAGGCCAGCCAAAUUUUUGUGUUUACAUAUAAUGUGUUUUUCACCUUUGUAUUGUUUCUUUUGAGUGCUUGUGAUAUUCAUACAUUAUUUCUUUACAUUUGAGGCUGUCACCAUAUGUGUUAGAAUUUUAUCUUUAAUUAUUGUUUCAAAGGGCAUGCAUAUAUUUUUAUUGUGUUUACUCCAUUUGAUUUGAUAUCAACUCUGGUAUGUUCCUUUUUUCUUUUCUUUAUAGACAAGCUGAUUAUUCCCAUCUUAACUUUCCAUUUGCUGCCAUAAAAUAGAAUAAUAUUAUAUCUAAUCAUUUUUAGCUCAUUUCCUUUCCUUAUAAGAUCUGGCAGAAAUUACCAAGAUUUUACUGCAGGACCAAUUAUCUUCUUUAUGAAGAGCUACCUUUUUCCCUCUAAGAAUUGUUGGCCUCACAUAAAGCAAUUGAUCUCCAAAGUUCUUUCCGUACCCUGUGUCCUCACCCUGUUGCUAUCAUUGAUUAGACAUUGAAUGGGCAUCUAUCCCAAGCCACACUCAAUACGUUUCCUCUCUCUUGAGAAUUUAUAAUUGGGAUUUAAAGUGACUUUCAAGCUCAAACACAAUAAUUUCCAACUCUUGUUUCUAAGAUUCUCCUAGGACCCAACAGAACACAGACUUCACAGAAACCUCUGUAUCUUCCUAAUGUUUUUCCUUUUUAUGUUUAUGUUUCUACAAUUGUAUUUUUAUUACUUCAGUGAAAAAUAUUUUGCGCAAGUCCAUGUAUCAGGACAAAUUAUUCCAGUCUUCCAAAUGGCUGCUCACUCUAACCUACAUGUAGACGAUUAGAAAAUAUUUAAAGAAUAAAAAUUGAUGAAAAUAAAAAUUUAUGCUAUUCAAAAAUUUGCUUGAAUAGCAUAAAUUUGAAUACAAGUUAUGUAUAAUGAAUACUCAUACAUUGCAGGUUUGAAAAGAAAGAUAAAGGAUUUAAAAGGUAUUAGGCGACUUUCCUUCAGCUCUCCACAGCCUUUGAUCUUCUCACAGAAGCCUGAUAAAUCCCUGUCAGGCAGACACAGCAAAGAGGGAGGGGGCCUGUUGUUUCCUCCAGCAAUGGUCAUUUCUUUCAUUUCCGCCUUGUCCAGAAGACACCAUCUUUUGACCAAAAGUUCAGGAAGAAAAUAAUGUUAACGUUAUGUGCAUGAAGACAGAACCCAAAGACUUACAGAUCAAAGGAUACUGAUAGUGGAAACAAGGGAGGUAGAAUGGUCAAGGUAAGAUCAGCAUUUUCUUAGUCCAGUAACUGGUAGCUGGGAAGUGUAUCUACUGAAGUUAGCAUGAUCAUUAAGCUUAGAAAGGAUAUGAAAAAAAGGUAAACUAUUAUCCCUGCAGCCAAAAGACCAAUCAAAGAUUUCCUUAGUGGACUGGGAGCCUUUGGACCUGUCACUAGUCUCAUAUGGAAGGCAAAGCCCUGAAACAGAAGCAAAGCCCAACAUAAAAAAAGAUAAUAACACAUAAAAUAAUCCCAUUUGGGGCAUUCACAUGUUGGCAUAGACUAAGGGAAGAAACAAAGGAUUUUAUUUGUGUUUAACAAUGUAUUGGCAUUAAAUAAAAACAGAACUACUAUGUGUUAAAAUUUGUGUGACACAGAUAAUGGUUCUUAGAGAGAAAAUCAUAACCUCAAAGGGUUAUACCAGAAAAGAAGGAAGACUGAAUAUUAAUGAGCUAAGAUUUCAACUUAAGAAAAAGCAAAACCCAAAUAAAAAUAAAAGUAACCAAAUCAGAAUAAAGCAUUACAAACAAAAACCAAAAAAGAAGCAGUAAAGAACAGGAAUUUGUGAAAAGAUUGUAUCAUAGUUAAUAUCAGUAGUAUCAAUUUCUAUUUAUAUCAAAAUACCAUAAAAAUUGACAACCCUCUAAUGGGAUAUAUAAGGACUAAAAGUCCCAAAUAAGUAACAUUAGCAAUGCAAAAUAUGCCUUUCUGAAGAUGCAGAGAAUAAAAUAAUAGAGGUGAUCAUAGAGCAACGGGUUCCUAUGUAUUGAAAAAUUUAGUGAAAUUGAAAUAAAAUUACAAGAAAUAUGAAUGUUUCUAGAAUAUAGAACAUUUUAAUUCCCUUUUUCUUACUUUUCUUACCCUACUUACUUUUAAAGGAUAGUUAUAACAAGUAUUCAAGGAAUAGAUAACUACAUUUAAGAAAAUUCAUUCAAGGACUAAAAAGAGAUGAUACUUUGAAACUCAUGACUUGAAGGUAAUAACAUAUUAGUACCAUAAUCAGGGUAGGACAGCAGGAUAAAUGAAAAUUAUAAUUAAAUCCUUCAUAGAAAUGAAUGCAAAUUAUUCACCUUCCACUCAAAAUCAAUAAAAAUUGAAUCCAGUAUUGUAUAACAAAACAAAGGGCAUAAUACAUCUUGACCAACUUGGAUUUGUUGCUUUUAUGUAAGAUUGUUCCAUGGUAUAAUUCACUAUACUGGGAUUUUGAAAAUGGAAAGUACAACAGGUUUAUAAUCAUUGCAAUAGAUUUUUUUAAAAUGACAAAAUUUAACAACCAUUCAUGACAAAAUCCAACUAGAAAGAUCUCUCACAAAAUAGGAAUAGAAGAGAACUUCUUAACUCACAAAACAUUUCCAUUUAACAAGUAACUACAAAAUCUUUUGAAUGAUUGUAUUAGUUAGGAUUCUCUAAAGAAACAGGACCAAUAAAAUGAGGGUGUUUGUGUAUGUGUGUGUCUCCCUCACACACAUGUGCACACACACACCCAUACAUAAGAUUUAAGGAAUUGGAUAACAUACAUGAGAUUUAAGGAAUUGGAUAACACUGCAUAACACAAUUAUGCAGGUUGGCAAGUUUGAAACCUGUAGGGUGGGGUGGCAGGCCAAAGACCUGAAGAACAGCCCAUGUUGCAGUUCAAAUCUAUUGUUUAUGUGCUGGCAGAAUUCUUCUUUGCUGGGGCAAAGUUCGUCUUUUGUUCUGUUCAGGCUUAAAACUGACUGGAUGAAACCCGCUCACAUUAAGAAGGGCAAUCUGUUUUACCCAGAGUCCACCCAUUUAAAUAUUUAUUUCAUUGAAAUAGACACUCACAGAAACAUCCAAAAUAGUGUUUUAUCAAAUACCUGGACACUGUGGCCCAGCCAACUUGACAAAAUUAACCAUUAUGGUAACGAAACAUUUGAAAGUAUUUUCUUUAAAAUCAGGAGAGUGGCAAGGACAUUUGCUACUAACAUUUUUAUCCAGCAUGGGUCAGAGGUCCUAGCCAGUAUAAUAAGACAAGAAAAAGAAAUCCAAUAUGAAAAAAUUAGAAAGAAUGAAACUAAAUUUUUAUGGUCUCCCCAAGAUAUGAUUGUCUCAAAGAACAUUUUCUAUCAGAAAAUUACUAGAUUUUAAAAAAGAUUUCAGUGAAUUUUCUGGGUAUAAUGCACAAAGUCUACUUUAUUUCCAAAUGUUAUCCACAAACAAUUAGAAAAAUGCAAUUUAAAAAGAUACUAUAUAAUUGGCUAGCCAUAUGAAAAAAUGAAACUGGACCCUUUCAUUACACCAUAUAA